UACGAAGGGGGCUAGCGUUGCUCGGAAUCACUGGGCAUAAAGGGUGCGUAGGCGGGUCUUUAAGUCAGAGGUGAAAUCCUGGAGCUCAACUCCAGAACUGCCUUUGAUACUGAAGAUCUUGAGUUCGGGAGAGGUGAGUGGAACUGCGAGUGUAGAGGUGAAAUUCGUAGAUAUUCGCAAGAACACCAGUGGCGAAGGCGGCUCACUGGCCCGAUACUGACGCUGAGGCACGAAAGCGUGGGGAGCAAACAGG
rnacentral:rRNA from 1 species